rnacentral:rRNA from 1 species
CGCCUACGGGGCGCAGCAGUGGGGAAUAUUGCACAAUGGGGGAAACCCUGAUGCAGCGACGCCGCGUGAGUGAAGAAGUAAUUCGUUAUGUAAAGCUCUAUCAGCAGGGAAGAAAAUGACGGUACCUGAGUAAGAAGCCCCGGCUAACUAUGUGCCAGCAGCCGCGGUAAUACGUAGGGGGCAAGCGUUAUCCGGAUUUACUGGGCGUAAAGGGAGCGUAGACGGCAGUGCAAGUCUGGAGUGAAAGGCGGGGGCUCAACCCCCCGACUGCUCUGGAACCUGUACGCCUGGCGU